rnacentral:pre_miRNA from 1 species
UUUCUGUUGUCCUUGGCACUGUAAGAAUUCACAGAUGGAUAACGAAUCGUGGAUUCUUUAGUGCUAAAGAUAAAAGAAA